rnacentral:snoRNA from 1 species
AGCACUUGUGUUUCCAUUGAACUAGAAGACAAAGUCGUAAGAGGUGUAAAAAUCAAUCCUGUUUUGCAACCCAGAGUUCAUUCUCCAGUUUGAGUUUUGAUGUGUAUAAGGAAGAAUGAU